GUCAAAACUCACGGCUGCAAGAUGUUGAGGAUUUCUACCAACUCCCCCCAUAUGGGGCAACAUGCAAAUACAAGAACCAUCUUUGGAACAAGCUGUGGAACUAACAUCACGCUCCUAACAGCAGCAUCCGUUCAGCGCCUCGGACAGCUCCCAGGAAGCCAACAACCUGGACAGCUAUGAAAGGACUUUUCACUCCACUUUUAAAGUAGUGGCAUCCACCUUGGGGAUAAAAUGCAGACCAGGAAGUUACAACCUACAGCCCCCCAGGAGCUCUCAGUUCCUGACAUAAGUAAAAUCAUUCAUUCAUUCACUCAUGGUACACUCUUUGAGAGCCUCUUAAUGGGCAGGGCUCACACUUGCAGGAUGCUCCUUGGGUGUGCCUGCAUCUACAGUGGGAGGGACUAGGUGCAGGUGGGUAAUCCUGCUCGAGACACUGCUUCAUUGUAGAAGGGGAGCCUUUGGAGCAAGGGAGGUAGGCUCACCUCCCAGCUCUGCCAUUUACAUGCUGAAUGGUCUUGAUAUAAAAGGAAAAUGAUAAUAAAGACACAAAGUUAAAAAACACUUCAUUCCUCCACUUUCAAGCUCAUCACCAUCUAUGCUGCUGGAUUGUUGAAAGAACGAUAAUUAAUGCCUGUGAAGGAUCUAGCACAGAGCUUGGCACCUGGACCUCACCCAGUUAACGGUGUGUGUGAGGACUGCGGAGGGCACCAGCCCCCAGAGCCUCCAGCUCAUCUUGUGGAGACCACGACACAGGCCUUAUUCUUGGGCACUGAACAGAAGAGAAAUAUUGUUUUGAUUUCAUUUCAUGGGCAAUGCCCACAGAAUGUAUCUGCCUUGAAAAAACAAAAACAAAACCCCCAUUGCUUUCUAACCUGCUAUACUGAAUUCAGUGCAGCCCCUCCAUGGGAAAUGGCUGGUCAAGCUGGCCUGAGUUCUCAACACCACAUACUUAAUAUACAAAGCCCGUCACACAAUAGUGCCUUCCUAGGGCUCCAUCCAUCUUGUGAAGGCAGAAGGCUGGCAGCUUCCCCACAGUGAGACCAUUGGAGGUGUUCACUGCAGUGGGUAUUCCACCUUCCUUCCCUGUCAACGGCGAGUAAGAGGCUGUUUCUGCAAAGCCCCUAUUCUCUUUCCUUUCAUGUUCCUGUCACUGCGGAGUUUGCAUGGGGGCUAUUGUGUAGCACUCUAAUUGUUUCCAGGAAUAGGUGAUGUUGCCUUAGAAAGCUAAAAACCCCACCAUGUCCCCAUUGAGAACUGGAGGCUCAUUCCCUUUAAAUAUGUAAAUAUGUCACACCCUCUCUGUGGCGUGCACAGCCUGAAGCUCUCCAGGCUGAUUGCUUAGAUUUGAGGACUUUCUGACAGUUUGAGCACAGGAAACAAUGAGAGGGAGAGAGAGAUGGAAAAGGAGAGAGGAGGAGGGGAGAGAGAGACUGAGAGAGGGAGAGAGACUGAGAGAGAGAGAAAGAGAUGGGGGGAGAGAGAGAGAGAGAGAGAGCAAGAGAGAGAGAGAGGAGAGCAGCACAGAGCAAUACAUUUCUCUUCCUUAAAAGAGACACCAAAGUUGACAGAACCAUCCUUUCAUUUCCGUAUUAGACUCUCCAGAGCAUUCUUAUUUAGGUAGCAAUCUUUUAGAAAAGAUACCACUUUCCGCAAAACACACAAACACCUAAUUCACUGGGGUGAUAUUUGCCAUGGCAAUUUUUUAGAUAAAGAGCUAUUUUGUAGAGUUCUGUGAACAAGGCAUUUUUAAUAGUUGUAGGCUGAUCCUUUGCUGGUGGAAACAUCCUCAUUCCCAUGGCUCCUGGCAGAAUGUCUGAGCUUUUAUCUGUAUUUCUGUAGAACACCAGGACCAGUACUCAUUCCAUGAGAGUCCAAAAAAGGGAGGUCCUACGUGGUGGUGGUCAGAUCAUUUUGGGCAUCUGAGUAUCCUGAGUCAGGCAGCUUGUCUUGAAGGGCACAGGCACUGGAAGUCAUAGACUUCAUGGUCAUAGGUGGGACCUGGAUGAAGUGCAUCUCCCAAUUCCCUGGUGCCCCCAGAGUCUGUUUAUGCUGUGGGUCUUCUGUAGCUCCUCUGUCCUACCUUUCAACCACUUCUUGCUCACAUGCUCAGAAAUGGAAUAAGAACUUGUUCAGGCUACGUUGUCCACGGCUGACAAUAAGGUGUGACCCUUCCUAGUGGAUUUUUAAUUUAACAUGUCUUAAUAAAAAACUAUGGCUAUUUUAUUUUUAUGGAUAGUUUUACUGUUAAAUGAAAUGGUAAUACAAGUCUAAGCAAAAACAUUACAAUCUCAUUUCCUAUGCUAUUAUACACUUAGCAAAUUUCUGGUCAAUAUCCUUUGGUGUUUUCCUAGAAUGUAAGUUUCACAAAGCAUAAGACUAUCUAUUUUAUUCACUGCUAAUUCAGUGUCUAGAAAUGCCUGGCACCCAGAAGGUUCUCAGACUGAACUUAUUUAGUGAACGUAAUGAAUAAGUGAAUGUGAUUAUUCAAUUUUUAUUAUAUCUGUGGUAGUUUAGUCCGUAACUUCUAUGUUGCACUUUUUAUUUCACAUUACCAUGCUUAUUUUUCCAGUUUCCUGGAGAACUUUUUAAAGCUACUUUACUCUCUUUUGCUACUCCUGUGUAAUAGCCAAUGCUAUAAAUAUCCUUACAUAACUUUCUCAAUGAACAUGCAUUCAUAGACAAAAGCACAUCGACAUAACGGAGUUUUUAAUUAUUUUUCUUUAAGUGGAUAUUGUUAAACUCUACUCAUGUCUACAACCUACAUACUCUAUUCUUCAUACUCAGCUGUUUUAUCAAUGACAGUUCUCUAAUUUAAGAAUAAUGGGAAU
rnacentral:lncRNA from 1 species